rnacentral:tRNA from 1 species
UAGGAUGUGGUGUAAUGGAAGCACGAAGGGUUUUGAGUUCUUUGGUGCAGGUUCAAGUCCUGUUGUCCUAG